rnacentral:rRNA from 1 species
GACGAACGCUGGCGGCGUGCUUAACACAUGCAAGUCGAGCGGUAAGGCCCUUUCGGGGUACGACGAGCGGCGAACGGGUGAGUAACACGUGGGUGACCUGCCCUUAGCUCUGGGAUAAGCCUGGGAAACUGGGUCUAAUACCGGAUAUGACCUCAUGACUCAUGUUGUGGGGUGGAAAGCCUUGUGCGGCUAGGGAUGGGCCCGCGGUCUAUCAGCUUGUUGGUGGGGUAAUUGCCUACCAAGGCGACGACGGGUAGCCGGCCUGAGAGGGCGACCGGCCACACUGGGACUGAGACACGGCCCAGACUCCUACGGGAGGCAGCAGUGGGGAAUCUUGCGCAAUGGGCGAAAGCCUGACGCAGCGACGCCGCGUGAGGGAUGACGGCCU